CUACGGAGGGUGCGAGCGUUAAUCGGAAUUACUGGGCGUAAAGCGUACGUAGGCGGUUUGUUAAGUUAGAUGUGAAAGCCCUGGGCUUAACCUGGGUACUGCAUUUAAAACUGGCAGACUAGAGUUUGAUAGAGGAGAGUGGAAUUUAAGGUGUAGCGGUGAAAUGCGUAGAGAUCUGAAGGAACAUCAGAGGCGAAGGCGACUCUCUGGAUUAAAACUGACGCUGAGGUACGAAAGCGUGGGUAGCAAACAGGAUUAGAAACCCCAGUAGUCC
rnacentral:rRNA from 1 species